CCGGCCGUUGGCUUUCGCUUAUGCAGUGAUCACUUCAUAUCAGGGAGAAAGAGUGAUAAUCCGUUGAGUCCGGAUUUUAUCCCCUCAAUUUUCGAUUACCUUCCAUCUCCAGAGAAGAGGAGACAUAAAACGAGACUGGAGGUUUUUAACAGAAGGCAGAAGGCUAAACUGCACAAAGUAGAGCAGGCAAAGAUAUCUGCUAACGUGACACUGCCUAUCAAACUGGAAUAAUUUAAUACUUACCCUUGCAGUGAUGAUGCCGAAGUUUUUGGAUGUAAGACUCCACAGUUGAAUGUUGUUUACGAAGCCGGACUGACACCAUUUGUAAGCCUCCAAGCUUUUGUACGCUCUGAGGGAGUCUCCUGAGUACACUGAUGGAAAGCUUACAAGAUAGCUGUGGAUGUCUGCGUAGCGCAAGUCGGGUACAUCGUCUUCAGAGCAGGAGGUUAUGCUCUUGAAAAGCACACCGGGUGAAUUAUAUGGGUCGCUUAUAUUUAAUCUCUCUAAUUUUGUACUAUAAAGCCGAAUUUCACUUGAAUUAAAAUGAGAAGUAUACUCGCUCGGUAAGAAAACACUGGCACCGGUGGUCAUGUUGACUGCCAAAAUGGUGGCUCCCAACCAAAAGUCACGUGACCGCAGGAGCUCUAUAGCCGAAAUCACCCGUCUAGCAAUUGAAGACAAGGUAAAGAGUGCUAAGUUUAUCACAAUAAUGUCCGACGGAUCAACAGAUGUCUCUGCCACUGAACAAGAGAUUGUUUACUUGCACUUUGCAGUGGAUGGCAAGACUCACUGCAAUUUCCUUGGACUUGUACAGUGUGACAAACCAGAUGCCAAUGGCAUCUAUGAUGCUAUAAUGCAAGCUGUAAAGCUCCCGGGGAUCCCAAAGGAAGAAAUGAUGAAGAAGAUUGUGGGAUUUGCUGGCGAUGGGGCGGCUGUCAACACCGGGAAAAAGGCUGGGGUGAUCGCUCUCAUGCGGGAAAGAAUCAGUGGAGACAUACUGAUGGUGCAGUGCAUGGCCCAUAGGGUGGAAUUGGCCUUCAAAGAAGCCAUGAAACAAGCCUCUUUGUUCAUCAAAGUCUAUGUCCUCCUGGAUGCUCUGUACAAGCUUUACAGGAUCCCUAAACAGGCCGCUGGUUUGAAGGCAGCUUUCAGUACCACCAACAUCUCCAAGAUCUGGCCUGUCCGAGUUGGAGGAACGCGCUGGGUUAGCCAUACCCACACAGCACUGCAAAACAUGUUGCGUGGUUACCGUGCAAUUGUUCUUCAUCUCAGUCAAGUUGCCACCACCAGGACAGCUAGUGGUAUGCAAGCAAAGGCAAAAGGUCUCCUGAAAACGCUGCGCUCCAAAGAUGCCAUGACUUUUGCC